UGGGCAACCUGCCCCAGACUCUGGGAUAACUCCGGGAAACCGGGGCUAAUACCGGAUACUCCGAUCGGACGACAUCGUCUGACCGGGAAAGCUCCGACGGUCUGGGAUGGGCCCGCGGCCUAUCAGCUUGUUGGUGGGGUAACGGCCUACCAAGGCGACGACGGGUAGCUGGUCUGAGAGGACGACCAGCCACACUGGAACUGAGAUACGGUCCAGACUCCUACGGGAG
rnacentral:rRNA from 1 species